rnacentral:snRNA from 1 species
AUCACUUGGCCUUUUGGCUAAAAUCAAGUGUAUUAUCUGUUUUUAUCAUUUUAAUAUAUGAUAUAUAUAUAUAUAUAUUUAAUGGAUUUUUGAGCACAGAGGUGGAAUGGAAGUUUGCUCCAUAGGUUCAUAACACACAUAGAUCUGGCACUGCAAUACUUCCAGGAAUGGUGCACCCACU